rnacentral:misc_RNA from 1 species
AACUUUUAACAAUGUAUCACUUGGCUCUCGCGUCGAUUAAGAACGCAGCGAAAUGCGAUAAGUAAUGUGAAUUGCAGAAUUCAGUGAAUCAUCGAAUCUUUGAACGCACCUUGCGCUCCUUGGUAUUCCGAGGAGCAUGCCUGUUUGAGUGUCAUUAAUAUAUAUAUAUCAACCCUCUUCUCUUGUUGAGCGGUUUGGAUGUGGGGGGUUUCUUUGCUGGCCUCUUCAAAGGUUCAGCUCCCCUGAAAUACAUUAGCAGAACGACCUGUUCAUUCAUUGGUGUGAUAACUAUCUACGCUAUUGAACGUGAGGCGGUUCAGCUUCCUAACGGUCCUUGGACAAUUUAUCAUUUUAUGUGACCUCAAAUCAGGUAGGACUACCCGCUGAACUUAAGCAUAUCAAUAAGCGGAGGCU